ACUCUUGUCGUCCAACCGGCAGGAUGCCCGGCUCUGAACCGGGUGAUCGUGGUUCGAAUCCACGCGAGAGUG
rnacentral:tRNA from 1 species